rnacentral:lncRNA from 1 species
CUGGGCUUGGUGACAGGACAACAAUUCCAGUGAGCCCUGGAGCUCCCGAGGAGCUGCCUCUGUGUCCUGUCACUGCCUGGGGCCAGCCUUAGGGAUCUCUAAGGAAGAUUGGAGAAAACCCUGCAGCAGGCAGAGGUGAGGGUCCCCUGCCUGCAGACAGGUGCUGCCCUAACUCCUAAUUGCCAAAAACUGCUUCAAGGCCUGAAGCCUGAGGUGUUUAUUCUGUCCCAAACUGCUCCUCUCGUUCAGCACAAACUGCCCUCACUCACCCUCAGCACCCAAACCAGCCUUUGGUUCCUUCCAAACCCACCCAGGGUCAGGUCCCUGCUGCCACACACACCAAGAGAAGUGAGCUGGUGUUUGGGGGAGACGCAUCCCCUUUUGCAGGCAGUGAGUGGGGACUGUCUCCAAACGUGACCCUCGAGUUUUUGAAGGAAGGCAAACCUGUGGGUGGCAGAGCAUUGCCUGGAGAAGUUCUGCUCUCUUCGGCGUUCACUCAGCCCCAGAUUCUUCCCUGCAAAUGAUGGUCAUAUGCACAUAUAUGAGACUAUUAUAUAUUUAUGGUUUUUACCAGCAUCAUUAUUAUUGUGUUCUGAACUGCCCUGGCAAUGCUACCCUAAAUCAGUGCUGAGGGAAGAUGAAAGUUCACUGCUUUCUGUGCCAAUGAAUAUGAAAAUAGGAGGGGUUCAGACUUCUCUGACAUUUUCCUUGUCUUCUGAGCAAAAAAAGUAGCAGGAAAGCAAUAAAGUAAGGCUUCCAGCCAGGACUCCAGCUGCCAGGAGAAUUAUUAGUCUUUUGCAGGCUAGGCCGAGGAAGGGCUUUUUUACAUCCCAAGCCAGGCAGGUGGGAUGAGACACUGGUGCUUAGUGGUGCAGAGCAGGGCUGCCUUUCACAGGGCAGCAAAGAGGGCAAGUCCUCAGUGAUGCCAGCCCCUCCCUGAGCCUCAUGUCAGGAAAAACAGUGCAUUUCCAUGAUUUUCCUCUCCCUUGUUGCAGAGCCUGCACUGCAAUGAGGCUGUGCAGCGCAAUCGUGACCCUGGGCCAGCAGAAAUACCGGGGUGGUUUAAUGAAGACUCCUGAGCAGGGCUUAACAACCACCACAUUAAUGCUGGCUCGGAGCCCACAGAGUGACCUCGCUGAGUUUCAUGGCACUGGUCGUGAUGGAAACAUGCAAGUCCUAUGCCAGGAAAGCCCAGGGCUUGGCUGGGAAACAGGAAAGAAGGAGCAGAGCCAUGGCUUUGUGGUCAUCCCAGCCAGUCGACAGCGGCGGUGGGCAAGUAGAGGCUCUUCAGUGGAGCCACAGGUGACUUGGGCUGAGCACAGCAAUCAAGAGCUUAUUUAUCCCAGCUUGGAGUGUCACGCUCUGGUAACCAGGCACUUCUUGUUGCUCAUCUCGAAAUCCCAAUCGAACGCCUUCAUUAUCACCCAGCAGUGUUUCCUUUGUGGAUAACAAGUCAUACUGCGAGCAUUAAUGGAGCGUCGGAUGGAUUUGUGUUGUGGGAUUGUUGUAAGCGCUGAUUGAAGUUCUGCCCGUGAUUAGGGGGCUUAGUCAGGUGUGAGAGAGGGAGUCUCUGCUGGCUCGUAAGAUCUGGGUUUGCAGUGCCUCUCCAGGGGGUGUUAUCGGGGUGUUCCUUACAAAGUCAACUUAAUGUUGAGUGCCAUGUUUUUGAGUGCCAUGCAUGAGAUCCCAAGUUCCCUUUAUCCCGUCUGGCACCCGUCACUGGCGUUGUGUCACCACCCACACAGGAAACUGUGCUCCAGACACCGCCUGGGAUUUUAGCAGCUGCCUGGAGGGGUUGAGCAGAGCAUCGUCCUCCCUGUGGGGUGUGGACCUCGUUCUGCAGAGAUGGACACAGAGGAGGGGGAAAGGUCUGAACUCAGCUUUUCACCCGCUCAAGAACAAGGAAACAUUCCAGGGACAUGAGAAACGUUCUUUUCUUGUCAUGUGGAAGAAACAGGACGUCAGGUGGGGCAGGAGCUUCUUGUCCAGCAGCUGUGGGCGUUGGGAGGCAAAGUUGCUCUGCCCCCGCUGAACACUGUGACAUGUUCGUUCCUCGAGGAGAUCAGUCAUGAUUCCUUAAUUGGGAUGAAUGUGGGACUGGGGGAGAGGCUGGUGGCACGAUCUAUCAAUUUUACCAGUGAAAAAUGAUAGGAAGUGGCAUCCCCCCAUCUGGCAGGCUCCCAGCCUCCUCCACUGCACACCUCAUUAUCCCGUUCCACUGCUUCAUCUCCAUAACAUUCAUCCCUAAUGAUGGCGGAGGGAUAUUCAUUUUCCGGAGUGUUCCUUGAUGAUUACCAGCCCAGCCCCGGUUCCCUCUGCAAUGGCAACGGGGAAUGUUUCCAGUAUCACGGCUUGCUCGAUCUGGACUGAUGGGUACAAAGCUGAGGGUGAAGGAUGUCCAGACUUAGGGCCCUGCUUGGUGUUCGUAAUAUUUCAGAUUCAGCCUUUCCAUCGGUGUUUCUGGCCAGAUUCCCGUUUCCUUAGCUCCAGGAGAAGCUUUAGUAGGAAAAAGAUGCUCAGACCUGCCAGGGAGUCGUAGAGCUGAGCUGUGGGUUAGGCAGAGAGCUGGGAGGUGCAAUACAGUGGGCAAAGCUGUGGGCAGAGUGCGCUGUAAAACUGCUUCUCACCUCCCCGGGGAGCCUCACGCAGCAUCUCAGGGCAGCCCCUGACACUGUGGGGUGUCCUUGUGGAUCUCCUUCUCUCCCCAGACUUUCCCAUUUGUUCCCCAGGCCUUUCCCAUUAGUAUGAGCCCCACGGGCUGGACACUGUCCGUGAGUCCCCGGCCAGCGAGAGGUGCCAAUCACAGCUCCCGUGUCCACCAACUCAAGUAAUCUCUUCGAAGGCUUCCAACAAGUUAAUAAGGAUUGAUCUGCUUCUCAUCAGAUCAUCUUGGCUGUUCUUAAUGAACCUGGGCAUUUUCAAGCCUUUCUUCCUCCUUAUAAAUGAGCUUCCAAAUAAAUACUCUUCUCCCAGUCGAUGGGCAGCUGAUUCCCUCCACAUUCCCCCAGCAUUAGGGUUUGGAUUGAAGGCGGCACCGCUCCGGCUUUGUGGUGGUCAUGUGUGCUGGUUCUGGAGGGAAGCUUAAGUUAAAGCAAAUCUUAUCUUUGGUUUUAAAUAAAGAUGGAUUUAAUUACAAUUAACUGUCUCACUGAGUGGUGGUUUGAGAAAGCCGGCUCAGCCCUGAUUUUUCUAUCUAAGAUUCAGUUGUAAGCCCUCAGAAAACACCCACAUUUUAAUUCUCUCCUAGACAGGCUAAGCCUUGAAUAGUAAAAAUAAAGGUGGGAAGAGCAGUUCAAGAGGAGCCCUCAGAGCAAUGAAAACUAGUGACUUUUCUGUCCAAAAAAAUACUGCCUUAGGCAGCUGGGAUAAUCCACCCUGCUGUCUGUAGCAUCGACAGGAGAGAGUUGUCAGAGUAAUGGGGUCUUUGAGAGAUCACUGAUGGUUCUGGUGUAAAUGUCCACCUGCUGCUGGAACUCUGUGUUCCCUGUCUUACCCGUUUUCAGGGAAUCCAUGGGACUGAAGUCCUGCCCUGUCAUUGCUUCCCCUGUUUGGUAAAUCCCUCGUGCACAUGUUGCCAUCUGGUCCCUAAUGCUUUGUGUCAGUUUAAGUUCCCCUAAGCUCUUAUUGACCAUUUCUUGUGUUAUCUGCACAUUCCCUAAUUCCUCUUCUCCUCUCCCCGGGGAUCUGAUCCCUGACUUAGGCAAAUCCUCAUCCUCUUCAUUUGUGAACACAGAUGCAAAAGUAAAUAUUGUAAGUGUCAGUGUCAGCUUCUUAUCCUCUCCUGCCUCCAAUUUCCCUCUGUCAGUCUUAUCUGUGCUGGAUCCACUUAUCUCCUGUGUCUGUAUAAUGGUCUUUUCCUUCUGUGUUUUUGUAAAAGCCGGGAGAUUCUCAUUGUUAACUGUCGUUUCUCCUUUAAUUAUAUCCCUGUGUGUUUACCUUCCCCAACCCAUGCCCCUGCUUCUAACACAUCCCCACUUCUAAGCAGGCGAGUUUUCUUUGUACCUGACUUUGAUUAAAGAUCGGAACGUCACAAAAUCCCCUGUUCUGGAAACUCAGAACCCGGGGCUGUUUGAAGCUGAGCCUGAAUUCUGUGUGGAGCCAGCGCUGCUGCCUCUGCUCUGGGUGCUGCUGUG